AUUUCCUGCUCAAAAUAUGGAGCAGCCCGACUGGGGUAGUACCUCGACCUUACAGAAGAUCACAGCAAAAUAAUACUGUUCUCAAGCAGUAUUGUGUUCCUGUUGGUGAGUAAGGUGACCAGAGCUCCUGGGGGGGAUUGGGGAUUGGGUCGGCAACGCGCUUGCGAUGCUUCUGGUGUUGCAGGCGUCUAUAAGCUACGGUAAUCGCUUACCAUCAGGUGAGCCGUAUGCUUAAAAAAAAAAAAAGAAAAAAUAAUAAUCGGUCGAGGACUUGAACCAUAAGUCUUUCCGAUCGCGACCGGUCGAUUUCCCACAUAAGCUAUUACAACUUUACUGACAGUUGCGAAAUUUACCUUCGUAUUAUAACGAUAUUUUUUCACUGUCUAAAAACUGGGAUAAAACGACAUUUCCUAAAAAUAAAUCCUAGCUAGAUUUAUUUAUCUCCCCCGAAAUUCCCUGCAUACUAAAUUUCAUGAAAAUCGUUGGAGCCGUUUCCGAGAUUCAGAUUAUAUAUAUAUAAGAAUUGCUCGUUUAAUAGUAUAA
rnacentral:misc_RNA from 1 species